rnacentral:lncRNA from 1 species
GAGAAUAUUCAGGGAGAAAGUGAUUUCUAUUCCUUGGUUCAAAACCAAACCCUAAAUACAAAAGUAUUUAUACAAGGUCAAUGUGACCCAAUCAUAAAACUCCCUUGGUUAACUUGAUGUGAGAUUGUGUUAAUCCAAACCCAUGUACACCUAUGAUUUGAUCAAAUCUCACCUACCUAGGACUCAAAUCAAGCCCAAUAAAAGUCAACCCCUUGAAGCUCAAGUCCCCUGCACCU